rnacentral:rRNA from 1 species
UAAUACGUAGGGUGCGAGCGUUGUCCGGAUUUAUUGGGCGUAAAGAGCUCGUAGGCGGUUUGUCGCGUCGGCCGUGAAAACCUGCAGCUUAACUGUGGGCUUGCGGUCGAUACGGGCAGACUUGAGUUCGGUAGGGGAGACUGGAAUUCCUGGUGUAGCGGUGAAAUGCGCAGAUAUCAGGAGGAACACCGGUGGCGAAGGCGGGUCUCUGGGCCGAUACUGACGCUGAGGAGCGAAAGCGUGGGGAGCGAACA